GGGGCUAACUGAUGAACAGAAGAGGUAGGCCUGGAUCCUACCUCAGUAAGGGGCUAACUGAUGAACGGAAGAGGUAGUCAUGUAUCCUACUUCAAUAAGGGGCUAACUGAUGAACAGAAGAGGUAGGCCUGGAUCCUACCUCAGUAAGGGGCUAACUGAUGAACGGAAGAGGUAGGCCUGAAUCCUACCUCAAUAAGGGGCUAACUGAUGAACGGAAGAGGUAGUCAUGUAUCCUACUUCAAUAAGGGGCUAACUGAUGAACAGAAGAGGUAGGCCUGGAUCCUACCUCAGUAAGGGGCUAACUGA
ensembl:lncRNA